GUUGAAGGUGUCACAACACCUGCUGUUGUCACAACAGCACCAGGAUGCUGCUGAUGUGUGGCAUAUUCACACUUUGUGACAAAGUCAGAAGGCUCACAACUCCUCUGAAAAGAUGGGCUCUUAAGGGGAACUCUGGUUUCUGGUGUUUAUUUUACUUUUUCUUUUAUCAAAACAAGAGGGGCAGGCAUAAAGGGGGUGGGGGAUGAAAUGAACACAAGAAGGAAAGUAGCUGUAAUGUAGAUUUAAAAAAAAAAACACUGGAAAUUGUUUAGAAACCACAAGUUAAGUAGGGGCGAGAUGGGAGAGAGAUUCUUACAUUUCCGACAGCAUCAUCACUGUCAGUGGCCUGCCACACUGGUGCUGACCACGGCCUUGGUGGACAGGUAGCCAGUGGGGACAGGUGGUCUCUGCAGAGUCCAGCUUCUGGACAGAGGGGGAUCUGGCUGUGCCAUUGGCCUUUUGUUUCCUGCCUGCAAAGCCCUUGGCCUGAGUCACUAUAUUCAAGGCACAUCACCACAGUCAUUUAGAGUGGGAACAAGGAUAACAUUCCCUCCAAUGGGCUAAAAUCUUUUCACAAAAGGAGUAGGUCCUGAGCAAAGCAGAGAUGCAAAAGCUGGGAUGGAAAGCUAGUUGUGUUGGGUGUGAGAAGUGCCAUCAGCUGAAUACUUCCCUCAGUGCACACAGAACUGAUGGUCUAUGGGUUGUUACUUAUUCACACUCAAACCAGCCAUCAUCAGGCCUAGCUGGUGUUGUGUGCUCAGAAAAUGCAAAUCAGUGCUCACUUCGGCAGCACAUAUACUAAAAAAAAGAAAAUGCAAAUUAGUUUGACCACCAGCCUAAGUAAAACAUAAUCCCUAAAGAAUCUGUUUGGUUAAAAAAAAAAACGAUACCACGUGUUGUGAUGAAUGUUGGAAUAUCUCCCUUAUCAUUGGAUCAAGAGCCAAGUGUAUUUUAAAAGGUUCCAAGGCAUAAAAAAACAUACUCAAGCAUUAUUCACAAAAGCCAAAAGGCAGAAACAAUGGAAGUGGCAAUAGGUGGAUGAAUGGAUACGCGAAAUGUGGUAUGUGCAUACAGUAGAGUAUCAUUCAGCUUUAAAAAGAAGUGGAAUCCUGUUGCUCCAACUUGAGGACACUGUGCUAAGUAAAGUAAGCCAGUCACAAAGAAACAAAUAUUGUAUAAUUCCACUUAUGGGAGGCUCCUGAAGAAGUCAAAUUCACAGAGACAGAAAGUGGAAUGGUGGUCGCCAGGAGCUGGGGCAUCAGGAAAUGGGAGUCAUUGUGGGGUGGGUACAGAUUCUCAGUUUUGCAAGAUGAGGAAGUUCUGGAGAUUGGUUGCACAACAGUAGGAAUGUACCUAACACCACUGAACUUUACAUCUGAAAAGGUUAAGAUGGUAAAUUUUAGGUUAUGUGUAUGUCACCACAAUUAAAAUGUAAAAAAAACAAAAAACAAAAAACCAGCAACAAAAACCCCCCAAAAACCACUUAAAUGAGGGAUGGGUGAGAGAAGGGAAAAGGGAUGGGGGUGGGGCAGUGGCUAACAGAUUAAAAUCUGUUGAGAGAUUCUGAGUUUCUGCUGGGUUGCCCUGUCAGUCCCCAGGCUCCCAGGCUCUGGGCCGCCCUGUCUCCUGAGUGUCGAGCUUUCCCCUGUUCCCUAAGGAAGGAAAGGCGGCCAGCAAUGUAAUUCUUUUCUGCGUUGAUCUCAGAUACCACUUUUAGCAUCUCAUUCCUGUCUUCCCUAGAAUGGGGGUCUUACGGACACCAUCCACACUUCCACUGAUGUCAUGGCUUAAAAGAAAUACAAAGUCGUACUUCCUCAGGAAAAUGCUGGAGGUCUUGGAUUUAAGUCAAUGACACGAGAAAGGACUUCCUCCCCAGCAGCUGCUCCCAUCCCUGGAUCUCACCUUAGCCUUGCGCUUGCUGUCAUCCAUGAUCAUUUUCCAGUCUGAGCCAUUGUUGCUGUACCCGAUCUUGAAUUUCCUCAUGAACACCUUGUUUUCCCUGUGCUUCCCCCCCUGAAUGAUGAUGCCCCUCACAAUCUUCUCUUCCCCCAGGUCCACUUGGAGCCACUCGUUUAUGUAUGGGUGAGGAGCAGGUGGCAGUGCCCAGCCGGAGCGACUGGUUACCAGGCGAAUAUUUUCAGGCAUCCAGUUUCUGUCCCCUUGGUUUGAUGCUGUUAUCUGGGAGUCAGAGAUAAGUCCAGACACCAUACCCAACAUGCCAGAGCAAGGAUAAUCUAGAGGGUGGAAUGAAAUAGAUGAUGUAAAAUGAUUUUCUAUAACUCUCCAUGCUUAGAAAGAGAAUACCACAGACUGAAUA
rnacentral:lncRNA from 1 species